rnacentral:rRNA from 1 species
AAGAGGAUUAGAUACCCUCGUAGUCCAUGCCGUAAACGAUGUGUGUUAGACGUUGGAAAUUUAUUUUCAGUGUCGCAGGGAAACCGAUAAACACACCGCCUGGGGAGUACGACCGCAAGGUUAAAACUCAAAUGAAUUGACGGGGACCCGCACAAGUAGUGGAGCAUGUGGUUUAAUUCGAAGAUACGCGCAGAACCUUACCAACACUUGACAUGUUCGUCGCGACUCUAAGAGAUUAGAGUUUUCGGUUCGGCCGGACGAAACACAGGUGCUGCAUGGCUGUCGUCAGCUCGUGUCGUGAGAUGUUGGGUUAAGUCCCGCAACGAGCGCAACCCUCACUUUUAGUUGCCAUCAUUAAGUUGGGCACUCUGAAAGAACUGCCAGUGAUAAGCUGGAGGAAGGUGGGGAUGACGUCAAGUCCUCAUGGCCCUUACGUGUUGGGCUACACACGUGCUACAAUGGUAUCUACAACAGGAAGCAAGACUGCGAAGUUAAGCAAAUCCCUAAAAGAUACCUCAGUUCGGAUUGCACUCUGCAACUCGAGUGCAUGAAGCUGGAAUUACUAGUAAUCGUGGAUCAGCGUGCCACGGUGAAUGCGUUCCCGGGUCUUGUACACACCGCCCGUCACACCAUGGGAGUUGGUUCUACCUUAAGGCAAGGUUUCAAACCCUUGACCACGGUAUAGUCAGCGACUGGGGUGAAGUCGUAACAAGGUAA